rnacentral:rRNA from 1 species
GUGGGGAGUAUUGGACAAUGGGCGCAAGCCUGAUCCAGCCAUGCCGCGUGAGUGAUGAAGGUCUUAGGAUUGUAAAGCUCUUUCACCGGUGAAGAUAAUGACGGUAACCGGAGAAGAAGCCCCGGCUAACUUCGUGCCAGCAGCCGCGGUAAUACGAAGGGGGCUAGCGUUGUUCGGAAUUACUGGGCGUAAAGCGCACGUAGGCGGAUAUUUAAGUCAGGUGUGAAAUCCCAGAGCUCAACUCUGGAACUGCCUUUGAUACUGGGUAUCUUGAGUAUGGAAGAGGUGAGUGUAAUUCCGAGGGUAGAGGUGAAAUUCGUAGAUAUUCGGAGGAACACCAGUGGCGAAGGCGGCUCACUGGUCCAUUACUGACGCUGAGGUGCGAAAGCGUGGGGAGCAAACAGGAUUAGAUACCCGAGUAGUCC